AAUGGGCGGUCCUCGGCUCGUGCGACGACAACAAAAUUAAAUCCUUAAUCAACUUUGACUUCUGCUGGUUCAGUCGUACGUUGUAUUCCGACGAGCGAGGAUCGAAGCUCUCUUAGGAUACCUGUUUGGAAAUAACAACAAAGAGUUAAAGCCAUUAUAUUCUUACAUCACAUAUUUCUUGCGAUGUAUUUUAUUUUAGAUUUAUAUUUGGAAUGGGCGGUCCUCGGCUCGUGCCACAACAACAAAAUUAAAUAUUUAAUCAACUUUGACUUCUACUGGUUCAGUCGUACGUUGUAUUCCGACGAGCGAGGAUCGAAGCUCUCUUAGGAUACCUGUUUGGAAAUAACAACAAAGAGUUAAAGCCAUUAUAUUCUUACAUCACAUAUUUCUUGCGAUGUAUUUUAUUUUAGAUUUAUAUUUGGAAUGGGCGGUCCUCGGCUCGUGCCACAACAACAAAAUUAAAUAUUUAAUCAACUUUGACUUCUACUGGUUCAGUCUUACGUUGUAUUCCGACGAGUACACAUCACAGUUCUCACAAAUUAAAUUGCGAAGUGGGGAUACUCGGCUUCAAGAGACGACAACAAAGCCGGGUCUUUGACCGAAUUUUACAAAUAUUAGUUCAGUUGUGCUUUGGACUUCGACGAGUGAACUUAGAAAUUUUCGCAGGAUGCCACUCGAAUUUCGACUUUCGGAGACUUUGAAAUUCUAUCUCCAUGAGUGGACUUAGAAAUUUUCGUGGAUGCCAUUCG